AUCCUGGCUCAGGAUGAACGCUAGCGGCAGGCUUAACACAUGCAAGUCGAGGGGCAUCGGGAGUAGCAAUACUGCCGGCGACCGGCGCAAGGGUGCGUAACGCGUGAGCAACAUGCCCGUAUCAGGGGGGAUAAUCCAUGGAAACGUGGUCUAAUACCCCAUAGUAAUUAUGUAAGGCAUCUUAUAUAAUUUAAAGCUUUGGUGGAUACGGAUUGGCUCGCGUGACAUUAGCUAGAUGGUAAGGUAACGGCUUACCAUGGCUACGAUGUCUAGGGGUUCUGAGAGGAAGGUCCCCCACACUGGAACUGAGACACGGUCCAGACUCCUACGGGAGGCAGCAGUGAGGAAUAUUGGACAAUGGAUGGAAAUCUGAUCCAGCCAUGCCGCGUGCAAGGAAGACGGCCCUAUGGGUUGUAAACUGCUUUUGUAUGGGAGCAAUAAGGGCUACGCGUAGUCCGAUGAGAGUACCAUACGAAUAAGCACCGGCUAACUCCGUGCCAGCCGCCGC
rnacentral:rRNA from 1 species